GAUUAAGUUAUUAAGGGCGCACGGUGGAUGCCUUGGCACUAGAAGCCGAUGAAGGACGUUACUAACGACGAUAUGCUUUGGGGAGCUGUAAGUAAGCUUUGAUCCAGAGAUUUCCGAAUGGGGAAACCCAGCAUGAGUUAUGUCAUGUUAUCGAUAUGUGAAUACAUAGCAUAUCAGAAGGCACACCCGGAGAACUGAAACAUCUUAGUACCCGGAGGAAGAGAAAGAAAAUUCGAUUCCCUUAGUAGCGGCGAGCGAAACGGGAAGAGCCCAAACCAGCAAGCUUGCUUGUUGGGGUUGUAGGACACUCUAUACGGAGUUACAAAGGACGACAUUAGACGAAUCAUCUGGAAAGAUGAAUCAAAGAAGGUAAUAAUCCUGUAGUCGAAAAUGUUGUCUCUCUUGAGUGGAUCCUGAGUACGACGGAGCACGUGAAAUUCCGUCGGAAUCUGGGAGGACCAUCUCCUAAGGCUAAAUACUCUCUAGUGACCGAUAGUGAACCAGUACCGUGAGGGAAAGGUGAAAAGCACCCCGGAAGGGGAGUGAAAUAGAACCUGAAACCGUGUGCUUACAAGUAGUCAGAGCCCGUUAAUGGGUGAUGGCGUGCCUUUUGUAGAAUGAACCGGCGAGUUACGAUUUGAUGCAAGGUUAAGCAGUAAAUGUGGAGCCGUAGCGAAAGCGAGUCUGAAUAGGGCGUUUAGUAUUUGGUCGUAGACCCGAAACCAGGUGAUCUACCCUUGGUCAGGUUGAAGUUCAGGUAACACUGAAUGGAGGACCGAACCGACUUACGUUGAAAAGUGAGCGGAUGAACUGAGGGUAGCGGAGAAAUUCCAAUCGAACCUGGAGAUAGCUGGUUCUCUCCGAAAUAGCUUUAGGGCUAGCCUCAAGUGAUGAUUAUUGGAGGUAGAGCACUGUUUGGACGAGGGGCCCCUCUCGGGUUACCGAAUUCAGACAAACUCCGAAUGCCAAUUAAUUUAACUUGGGAGUCAGAACAUGGGUGAUAAGGUCCGUGUUCGAAAGGGAAACAGCCCAGACCACCAGCUAAGGUCCCAAAAUAUAUGUUAAGUGGAAAAGGAUGUGGCGUUGCCCAGACAACUAGGAUGUUGGCUUAGAAGCAGCCAUCAUUUAAAGAGUGCGUAAUAGCUCACUAGUCGAGUGACACUGCGCCGAAAAUGUACCGGGGCUAAACAUAUUACCGAAGCUGUGGAUUGUCCUUUGGACAAUGGUAGGAGAGCGUUCUAAGGGUGUUGAAGCAUGAUCGUAAGGACAUGUGGAGCGCUUAGAAGUGAGAAUGCCGGUGUGAGUAGCGAAAGACGGGUGAGAAUCCCGUCCACCGAUUGACUAAGGUUUCCAGAGGAAGGCUCGUCCGCUCUGGGUUAGUCGGGUCCUAAGCUGAGGCCGACAGGCGUAGGCGAUGGAUAACAGGUUGAUAUUCCUGUACCACCUAUAAUCGUUUUAAUCGAUGGGGGGACGCAGUAGGAUAGGCGAAGCGUGCGAUUGGAUUGCACGUCUAAGCAGUAAGGCUGAGUAUUAGGCAAAUCCGGUACUCGUUAAGGCUGAGCUGUGAUGGGGAGAAGACAUUGUGUCUUCGAGUCGUUGAUUUCACACUGCCGAGAAAAGCCUCUAGAUAGAAAAUAGGUGCCCGUACCGCAAACCGACACAGGUAGUCAAGAUGAGAAUUCUAAGGUGAGCGAGCGAACUCUCGUUAAGGAACUCGGCAAAAUGACCCCGUAACUUCGGGAGAAGGGGUGCUCUUUAGGGUUAACGCCCAGAAGAGCCGCAGUGAAUAGGCCCAAGCGACUGUUUAUCAAAAACACAGGUCUCUGCUAAACCGUAAGGUGAUGUAUAGGGGCUGACGCCUGCCCGGUGCUGGAAGGUUAAGAGGAGUGGUUAGCUUCUGCGAAGCUACGAAUCGAAGCCCCAGUAAACGGCGGCCGUAACUAUAACGGUCCUAAGGUAGCGAAAUUCCUUGUCGGGUAAGUUCCGACCCGCACGAAAGGCGUAACGAUUUGGGCACUGUCUCAACGAGAGACUCGGUGAAAUCAUAGUACCUGUGAAGAUGCAGGUUACCCGCGACAGGACGGAAAGACCCCGUGGAGCUUUACUGUAGCCUGAUAUUGAAAUUCGGCACAGCUUGUACAGGAUAGGUAGGAGCCUUUGAAACGUGAGCGCUAGCUUACGUGGAGGCGCUGGUGGGAUACUACCCUAGCUGUGUUGGCUUUCUAACCCGCACCACUUAUCGUGGUGGGAGACAGUGUCAGGCGGGCAGUUUGACUGGGGCGGUCGCCUCCUAAAAGGUAACGGAGGCGCUCAAAGGUUCCCUCAGAAUGGUUGGAAAUCAUUCAUAGAGUGUAAAGGCAUAAGGGAGCUUGACUGCGAGACCUACAAGUCGAGCAGGGUCGAAAGACGGACUUAGUGAUCCGGUGGUUCCGCAUGGAAGGGCCAUCGCUCAACGGAUAAAAGCUACCCCGGGGAUAACAGGCUUAUCUCCCCCAAGAGUUCACAUCGACGGGGAGGUUUGGCACCUCGAUGUCGGCUCAUCGCAUCCUGGGGCUGUAGUCGGUCCCAAGGGUUGGGCUGUUCGCCCAUUAAAGCGGUACGCGAGCUGGGUUCAGAACGUCGUGAGACAGUUCGGUCCCUAUCCGUCGUGGGCGUAGGAAAUUUGAGAGGAGCUGUCCUUAGUACGAGAGGACCGGGAUGGACAUACCUCUGGUGUACCAGUUGUCGUGCCAACGGCAUAGCUGGGUAGCUAUGUGUGGACGGGAUAAGUGCUGAAAGCAUCUAAGCAUGAAGCCCCCCUCAAGAUGAGAUUUCCCAACUUCGGUUAUAAGAUCCCUCAAAGAUGAUGAGGUUAAUAGGUUCGAGGUGGAAGCAUGGUGACAUGUGGAGCUGACGAAUACUAAUCGAUCGAAGACUUAAUCAA
rnacentral:rRNA from 1 species